rfam:Ancylostoma ceylanicum strain HY135 Acey_s0001_scaf, whole genome shotgun sequence.
CCAACGGCCCUCUUUAGGGCCACAACUACUGUCGAAUACUUUACC